CAACCCUCAAGCACGGCUUGUACGUUGGGUGUCGUCCCCCCGGGGACGCGCCCGAAAGGCAAUGGCGGCGCCCGCAUCGGAGCCCGGGCGUAUGGGAAACUUUCCGCUCGACGCAGCCCCGGUCGGCGCUGGUCGUCACCCAUUCUUUUUACC
rnacentral:misc_RNA from 1 species